UCAAGCUACAAAGAGCACAAGGGGAAUGCCUUGGCACCGAGAGCCGAAGAAGGACGUGACUAACUGCGAUAAGCUACGGGGAGCUGUAAGUGAGCGUUAUAUCCGUAGAUUUCCGAAUGGAGCAAUCCGAUUAGAGGAAAGUCUAAUCAUCAUAUACUGAAUACAUAGGUAUAUGAGGGGAACCGCCUGAACUGAAACAUCUAAGUAGGGCGAGGAAGAGAAAUCAACAGAGAUUCCGUAAGUAGUGGCGAGCGAACGCGGAAGAGGCCAAACCUAAUGUAGUAAUAUGUUAGGGGUUCGGACAGUAUAAUGAAUUGUCGAGAUUUAGCCGAAUGUCAUGGGAAGGGCAAUCAAAGAAGGUGAAAAUCCUGUAGGCGAAAAGUUAAGACAUCAGACUGUAUCCAGAGUACCGCCGGACACGUGAAACCCGGUGGGAAUACGGGGGGACCAUCCUCCAAGCCUAAAUACUACUCGGUGACCGAUAGAGAAGAAGUACUGUGAAGGAAAGGUGAAAAGCACCCCGGAAGGGGAGUGAAAGAGAACCUGAAACCUUGUGUUUACAAGCACCGAAAGUUCAUCAACGAACGAUCGGGUACCUUUUGUAGAAUGGUCCGGCGAGUGAAUGUAACUGGCAAGGUUAAGCACUUAAGGUGUGAAGCCGUAGCGAGAGCGAGUCUGAAAAGGGCGCAUGAAGUCAGUUGUAUUCGACCCGAAACCGGGUGACCUACCCAUGUCCAGGCUGAAGUGCAGGUAAAACUUCAUGGAGGGCCGAACCGACUCCCGUUGAAAUGGUAGCGGAUGAGGUGUGGGUAGCGGAGAAAUUCCAAUCGAACCCGGAGAUAGCUGGUUCUCUCCGAAAUAGCUUUAGGGCUAGCCUUGGAAUAGAUUACUGGAGGUAAAGCACUGAAUUGGCUAGGGGCCGAGAGGUUACUGAACCUUAUCAAACUAAGAAUGCCAGAUAAUCGUUUUCCAGGAGUCAGACAGUGGGAGAUAAGUUUCAUUGUCAAAAGGGAAACAGCCCAGACCUACAGCUAAGGUCCCAAAGUAUAGUUAAGUGGAAAAGGAUGUGGAAUUGCAUAGACAACCAGGAUGUUGGCUUAGAAGCAGCCACUCAUUAAAAGAGUGCGUAAUAGCUCACUGGUCGAGUGAUUCUGCGCCGAAAAUUUAACGGGGCUAAACUAUACACCGAAGCUUAGGAUACCGCAAGGUAUGGUAGGAGAGCGUUCUGUACGGAGUGAAGUCGUAGCGAAAGCGGCGGUGGACUGUACAGAAGUGAGAAUGCCGGAAUAAGUAGCGAGAAUUAAGUGAGAAUCUUAAUGGCCGAAAGUCUAAGGUUUUUGGAGGAAGGUUCGUCCGCUCCAAGUAAGUCGGGAGCUAAGGUCAGGCCGAAAGGCGUAGCCGAUGCACAAACGGUUGAUAUUCCGUUACCGUCUACAAUUUAAACAAAGGGACACAUACAAAGCGUUUAACCCGGGCGAUGGUUGACCCGGGCGCAAGGGACUGAAAUAAGAGUAGGGAAGUAAAUGUGGCGUAUGGCGAGAAAAGCUUUGUGAAUAGAAGUAGACGCCCGUACCGCAAACCGACACAGGUGGACAGGAAGAGAAUUCUAAGGCCAGCGGGAGAAGGGUAGUUAAGGAACUCGGCAAAUUGACUCCGUAACUUCGGAAUAAGGAGUGCUCGAAAGAGCCGCAGAGAAUAGGCCCAGGCGACUGUUUAGCAAAAACACAGGUCUCUGCCAAAUCGAAAGAUGAAGUAUAGGGGCUGACACCUGCCCGGUGCCGGAAGGUUAAGAGGAGGAGUGCAAGCUCCGAAUUGAAGCCCCGGUAAACGGCGGCCGUAACUAUAACGGUCCUAAGGUAGCGAAAUUCCUUGUCGGGUAAG
rnacentral:rRNA from 1 species